UCGUUACUUUUCAUUCUGAUUCAACGAAAAGAGCCGUUGAGACCUAGCUGAUUCAUAUUAGAAACUUCUAGUUAACUCUGCUUGAAUAUCUGUGCUUUUGCUUCUGUAUUUAUUACGGGCCGUGGAUUAUUGUUUAACUAGAUUAUUGCUUCUUUUCUUAAUUACUAAAUAUUAACUGUCGCCGAUUUCAUUUUGCACGGGUUUAAUGCCGGAUUAAUUUUUUUGCGAUGUAGGUACCUACACGUGUACAACAAGAAGAUCCAUUGCAUUUCCUGCUUCUGGAUAAGAAAGUGAAAAAGAGUGACGUGGCGUUAUUGAUUUAAAGGAUCUGUUUAAGUAUACCAAAGAAUUGAAACAGCCUGAACACACUGAGCUGGUUAAUAGAAGCAGCUCAGUGUUACUCAGAAACACAAAUUACUUCAGAGAAGCAAGCAAAAAUUUUAUGUUGCUUGACCGCUUGCUUGCUUGUACCAUUUCCUCUGGCUCCAUCCUCUGCUAAAUGUAUCUCGCUUCCAUACAGCUGUUGCUUUGAGCUUGAGAAAACAUUCUUGGAUUAUAACAUGAAGAAAAUGGUUACCAAGGAUUAAUAUUUUUAAAAAAGAUGGCGUUGAAGAGCUGCCUCAGAGAUUUUCACAUUCAGAUAACACAAGACACUAAGGAGUUGUCACAGGGAGCUCAGUACUGCAGGAAGCAUUGGUCGACUCUCCUGCCCCCGGGGACUAUCAGGAUCUAACAGCCCGUGAGCUGACGGAGGCCGCAGCAGCCAGCGUCCAGUCCAGAAGAGUAACAUACCUCAUGUGGCAAAAUCAGACAGGCCUUUCAUCCAUGACCCUGUAAACGUUGUUAGCUUUACCUGCGCCUUUAGUCUACACUAAAUUAUAAUAACAAUUUACUCUGCUAACGUUUUGUUAGAUGAUGAAGAUCGAUUUGACAUCAAAUCAACCCCAACAUAUCAGAAUGUUUGCUCUUGGUAUUUGUGGAAAUUAAUUCCCGAUGAUAUUAUUGUUGAAUCAGUGUUUUUAUUUUUAUUUU